AAAGUGGCCUACGCUACUGCGAUGGACUGGUUUAUAGCUGUCUGCUACGCCUUU
rfam:Tauraco erythrolophus contig6536, whole genome shotgun sequence.